UACAGUGGGGGCAAGCGUUGUUCGGAAUUACUGGGCGUAAAGGGUUCGUAGGUGGCUUACUAAGUCAGACGUGAAAUCCCUCAGCUUAACUGGGGAACUGCGUCUGAUACUGGAAAGCUUGAGUGCAGGAGAGGAACGCGGAAUUCCAGGUGUAGCGGUGAAAUGCGUAGAUAUCUGGAGGAACACCGGUGGCGAAGGCGGCGUUCUGGACUGCAACUGACACUGAGGAACGAAAGCCAGGGGAGCAAACGGG
rnacentral:rRNA from 1 species